ACGGGAGGCAGCAGUCGGGGAUAUUGCGCAAUGGGGGAAACUCUGACGCAGUGACGCCGCGUAUAGGAAGAAGGUUUUCGGAUUGUAAACUAUUGUCGUUAGGGAAGAGAAAGGACAGUACCUAAGGAGGAAGCUCCGGCUAACUACGUGCCAGCAGCCGCGGUAAUACGUAGGGAGCGAGCGUUAUCCGGAUUUAUUGGGUGUAAAGGGUGCGUAGACGGGAAAUUAAGUUAGUUGUGAAAUCCCUCGGCUCAACUGAGGAACUGCAACUAAAACUGGUUUUCUUGAGUGCAGGAGAGGUAAGUGGAAUUCCUAGUGUAGCGGUGAAAUGCGUAGAUAUUAGGAGGAACACCAGUGGCGAAGGCGACUUACUGGACGACAACUGACGGUGAGGCGCGAAAGCGUGGGGAGCAAACAGGAUUAGAUACCCUGGUA
rnacentral:rRNA from 1 species